GCGCGUAAAGCGCGCGCAGGCGGUUUCUUAAGUCUGAUGUGAAAGCCCACGGCUCAACCGUGGAGGGUCAUUGGAAACUGGGGAACUUGAGUGCAGAAGAGGAGAGUGGAAUUCCAUGUGUAGCGGUGAAAUGCGUAGAGAUAUGGAGGAACACCAGUGGCGAAGGCGACUCUCUGGUCUGCAACUGACGCUGAGGCGCGAAAGCGUGGGGAGCAAACAGGAUUAGAUACCCUGGUAGUCCACGCUGUAAACGAUGAGUGCUAGGUGUCGGGGGGUCCAACCCUCGGUGCCGGCGCAAACGCAUUAAGCACUCCGCCUGGGGAGUACGGUCGCAAGACUGAAACUCAAAGGAAUUGACGG
rnacentral:rRNA from 1 species